CUUCACCGAGCCGAGCAACAGCGGCCGUCCGGCCGGCCGCUCCUGGCCGUAGGUGGCGAGCAGGGCCUGCGCCUC
rfam:Streptomyces atratus strain OK807 genome assembly, contig: Ga0007934_1085